UCCCUGAUGGACCAGUGGCUAAGACUUUGCACUCACACUGCAGCAGGCCUGGGUUCGAUUCUUGGUCAGGGAA
rnacentral:tRNA from 1 species